rnacentral:rRNA from 1 species
UACAGGGGGGGCAAGCGUUGUUCGGAAUUACUGGGCGUAAAGGGCUUGUAGGUGGCCAACUAAGUCACACGUGAAAUCCCCAGGCUUAACCUGGGAACUGCGUGUGAUACUGGAUGGCUUGAAUCCGGGAGAGGGAUGCGGAAUUCCAGGUGUAGCGGUGAAAUGUGUAGAGAUCGGGAGGAACACCGGUGGCGAAGGCGGGUCUCUGGGCAUCUCCUGACGCUGAGGCGCGAAAGCGUGGGGAGCAAACGGG